rnacentral:tRNA from 1 species
ACUUAAAUAGCUUAAUUAGAGAGUGUAACAUUGAAGAUGUUAGGGUGAUUGAAAAAUUUUUAAGUA